UACAGAGGGUGCAAGCGUUGUUCGGAAUUAUUGGGCGUAAAGCGCGUGUAGGCGGCCUUGCAAGUCGGGUGUGAAAGCCCUCAGCUCAACUGAGGAAGCGCGCCCGAAACUGCAGAGCUUGAGUACCGGAGAGGAUGGCGGAAUUCCCCAAGUAGAGGUGAAAUUCGUAGAUAUGGGGAGGAACACCGGUGGCGAAGGCGGCCAUCUGGACGGAUACGUGACGCUGAGACGCGAAAAGCGUGGGGAGCAAACGGG
rnacentral:rRNA from 1 species